UCUAAAGUCAAACAAAUGGAAAAAGAAAAGGCUGCAAGUACAAAAAAGCGAAUGUUAUUAAUAGAAAAUGAACAUUUACAAUCUACUCUAAGGAUCAGAAUAAGUCGAAAGGAAGUACUACAAGACAAUAAAAAA